rnacentral:lncRNA from 1 species
UUGACCAUGCCUUCCCCUGAAUCAGCCACGUUACUUUAACUUGUUCCCGCUAUAACUUCUUACAGUGUGUAUGCUCUGUGGAACACAGUUUAAUACUCAAUGCUGUGGGUCAUUUAUUGUGGCUUAAUCGUUCCAGAUCACCUGCCUGGAAGCAGUGGCAACUGCUGGUUCCUCUGACGUCCCACGGAAACUGGUCUGAGAUCAAGGCAAAUGAAGGCCGCUGAUGCUUGGUGAGGCCGUCUAUGGCAGGGGAUCCAGGUAAAAGGAAUGGUCUUAUCUGCCCUGAGUCGUGACUGGAUAAUAGCGGAAGAGUUGGAGGGAUACAAUUCAUCUUCAACAACAUGAACUUGAACCACUUAAUCCCCGUAAGUCUGUGAAGAAGGAAUCUAAGAUCUUGGAUUUUUAAAUGUGUGAAUCCGUCAGCAUGAGUGUGAUCAACUUUAAACUGCCUAUAGGACCAGAACAGACUCUUAAUAUUUACCAUUUUUAUUGAAAAAUAUCAAGAAAAUUAAUUUUUAUAGAUAGGGAAAACAGUUUGAGUCUGUAACAGUAAUAUAAGUGCAAUUAUUAACAGAAUUGUUUACCAC